rnacentral:rRNA from 1 species
UACGUAGGUGGCAAGCGUUGUCCGGAAUCAUUGGGCGUAAAGCGCGCGCAGGCGGCUGGGCAAGUCCGAUGUGAAAGCUUCCGGCUUAACUGGAAAAUUGCAUCGGAAACUGCUCGGCUUGAAGGUGGGAGAGGGUAGCGGAAUUCCCGGUGUAGUGGUGAAAUGCGUAGAUAUCGGGAGGAACACCAGUGGCGAAGGCGGCUACCUGGCCCACUCUUGACGCUGAGGCGCGAAAGCUAGGGGAGCAAACGGG